GUGGAGCAGAGCUGGGCUGGUGUGAAGGGAUGAAGUGGAGAACAGAAGAGGGCUGCAGGGUCAGGGCGGUGUUAAGUGUGGUGUACCCCCCAGCUGUCUCCUCCUCAGUUGGACUCACUCUGUUCCCAGCAGCCACAAGCAUAACAACCUUCUUCCUGUUCACCACUCCUUCCUGGGGUCUCUUUCAGCUCCUUUUCCAGUAGUGGUGUGCCUGAAAAUCUGGGCUAGCUGCCCUGUGAGGGAACAGCCAGAUUUCCAACUGUACAUGGGAAACUAGAAGAUGCUGCUAAACAGGAUGCCUGUACAGGAGUGAACGAAGUGUUGAACGUAACAGCAGGAGCAUGCAAAAAAUAAAAUGGAAACAUUUAUUAAAACCACCACCUUUCCUGUAUAUUAGAUAAGACCUCUUCCCUAUGGUCUAGUGAGAUUUAAAAAACAGAUGUUCCUUGGGGGAGGAGAAUUCUUCAGGGCAGGUUAGAGAAUGGAAACAUUGG